UACGAAGGGGGCAAGCGUUGUUCGGAAUUACUGGGCGUAAAGGGCGCGUAGGCGGUGCUCUAAGUCAGGUGUGAAAGCCCUGGGCUCAACCCAGGAUGUGCACUUGAUACUGCGCGGCUAGAGUGUCGGAGAGGAUGGUGGAAUUCCCAGUGUAGAGGUGAAAUGCGUAGAUAUCCGGAGGAACACCGGUGGCGAAGGCGGCUUCCUGGACCGACACUGACGCUGAGGCGCGAAAGCUAGGGGAGCAAACGGG
rnacentral:rRNA from 1 species